rnacentral:rRNA from 1 species
UACGAAGGGGGCUAGCGUUGUUCGGAAUUACUGGGCGUAAAGCGCGCGCAGGCGGUCUUCCAAGUCAGUGGUGAAAGCCCGGAGCUCAACUCCGGAACUGCCAUUGAAACUGUUGGACUUGAGUACGAGAGAGGUGAGUGGAAUUCCCAGUGUAGAGGUGAAAUUCGUAGAUAUUGGGAAGAACACCGGUGGCGAAGGCGGCUCACUGGCUCGUAACUGACGCUCAGGCGCGACAGCGUGGGG